rnacentral:lncRNA from 1 species
UUGACACAAGAAGAUUAGCUGAGGGUGGGCAAGAUAUUUAUAUACGGCUAGCUGCUUCACAAUCAGGUAUGGCUUCAGUUGGCAACUAAUUAUUAAUCGUAAGGACAUAGCACCAACAUUGAUAGAAAUUCAACCAUUAUUUCUCUUCAAAUCUGGUUCAUCAACCAUGGAAAAAGAAACAGCGCCAUUCUCCCUAUCUGAACUUAGUUGAUAUGAUUUCCCAUUUGC